rnacentral:rRNA from 1 species
CUGCUGCCUCCCGUAGGAGUUUGGGCCGUGUCUCAGUCCCAAUGUGGCCGUUCACCCUCUCAGGCCGGCUACUGAUCGUCGCCUUGGUGGGCUGUUACCCCGCCAACAAGCUAAUCAGACGCGGAUCCAUCGUAUACCACCGGAGUUUUUCACACCGUCUCAUGCGAGACUGUGCGCUUAUGCGGUAUUAGCACCUAUUUCUAAGUGUUAUCCCCCAGUAUACGGCAGGUUUUCCACGCGUUACUCACCCGUCCGCCA